CUGAGAGUGACUUAGGUUUUCUUCUUUCUUCCUUUUUUCCUCUCCUCCCAUUUCGUUUCAUACUCAGCCAGCCGCCACCGAUUCCAAACUUCUCUUUCAGCCAUCACAUCACUCCUCUCUGCCGUCGCUCUUCUCUCAGCCUCUCUCAGUCGCCGCCGUCACGCAUACUUUGCUCGAGAAUUUGAAAUCACUUUACUCAAACUUGGAAGGUCUCCUUCCUGAUCGAAUUGUUCCAACUGUGGGACUUAAUAUUGGUCGUAUUGAAGCAUCAAAUACCAAACUUGUGUUCUGGGAUCUGGGAGGUCAGGUAUGUGAAAUUCAUCCGUGCCAUUUUUGAUGCAAGAGUUGUUUGUUUUUGCUGUCAGUCUGGUCUUCGCUUAAUCUGGGAAAAAUAUUAUGAAGAAGCACAUGUUGUGGUCUAUGUAAUUGAUGCCACUUGUCCAUCACGUUUUGAAGAUUCAAAAUCUGCAUUAAGUAGGUGAUAUUAAAUCGCUAAAUCUUGUGAACAUAUUGUGCUGGUUCUGUAACUAUGAUUUGCUGAUAUUAUUACUUUUUAACUUUUUAAAAACAGAAAAAGUUAUUCGGCUUGAGGAUUUGCAGAUUUAUUUUUUAUUUUUGUUUUUUGAUUUUCUGUUUUUGUUGGUGGAGUCAAACAGUU